rnacentral:lncRNA from 1 species
AGUAGCGAAAUUGACGUAAGUGCACACGAGAAAGAGAAGGCCACGUGAAUCACUAUACAAACAAGGAACCCGACCAACUCGUUCUAUACUUUCCUAACUUCAAACAUAGUUUCCUAUAAACCGAUUAUUCAGAAAACAAUUAGUAAAACCGAUUUUGCUAAAAACCGGCUUAAAACUCGUUUUCUACAAAUCCAUAGCUAAAUACUUGAUAUCCAAACAACCCCAUAAAGAAAAGCCUUUGGGUUGGUCUCAUUUUUUUUUUGGUUGUGCCGUUUGAAUUUGCCUCGAUCGGUUGUGCGCGAUGUGAUGAGCGUUGGCUCAACGUUGGGGUAUCUUCUAGUAUCAGCGGGGAAUGUUCGCUUAAGCACACCUGUGCAAGUUGGUUUGGUCAUUGAGUCUUGUAAUGGAAUCACCGAACUUAUAAGGUGCAUUUCAGUCGUGUGUCGCUUUAGGUUUCUCGUAUUCCAGUUUCUAAACCGAAACUUUGUAGCUUCGGGUGUCAUCCUAUUAUGUCGAGUUGGGCGUGAAUUUGUCUUUGUAAUCGUCUAUGCAAGUCAAUGAAAACCAGCUGGUUCCCUUCGUGUUAAUACUGAACUAACUAGUCUGUUUUCCCAUACUUUCACGGGAACUCAAAGCGCGGUAGAUUGCAUCUUACUGUGGCGAUGCCUAUGCCUACUCCCAGCACUGGGAGCAGCAACGGGAGCAGCACUCCCAGCACUGUAUAUGCCUAACGAAUUCG